UACGAGGGGGGUAAGCGUUGUUCGGAUUUAUUGGGCGUAAAGGGUGCGUAGGCGGUUUGGCAAGUCUUGUGUGAAAUCUUCGGGCUCAACCCGAAGCCUGCAUAAGAAACUGCCGGGCUUGAGUAUGGGAGAGGUGAGUGGAAUUUCCGGUGUAGCGGUGAAAUGCGUAGAUAUCGGAAGGAACACCUGUGGCGAAAGCGGCUCACUGGACCAUAACUGACGCUGAGGCACGAAAGCUAGGGGAGCAAACAGG
rnacentral:rRNA from 1 species